rnacentral:rRNA from 1 species
CCUACGGGAGGCAGCAGUGGGGAAUCUUGGACAAUGGGGACAACCCUGAUCCAGCCAUGCCGCGUGAGUGAUGAAGGCCUUAGGGUCGUAAAGCUCUUUCGCCUGUGAUGAUAAUGACAGUAGCAGGUAAAGAAACCCCGGCUAACUCCGUGCCAGCAGCCGCGGUAAUACGGAGGGGGUUAGCGUUGUUCGGAAUUACUGGGCGUAAAGCGCGCGUAGGCGGAUUAGUAAGUUAGAGGUGAAAUCCCGGGGCUCAACCCCGGAACUGCCUUUAAUACUGCUAGUCUUGAGUUCGAGAGAGGUGAGUGGAAUUCCGAGUGUAGAGGUGAAAUUCGUAGAUAUUCGGAGGAACACCAGUGGCGAAGGCGGCUCACUGGCUCGAUACUGACGCUGAGGUGCGAAAGUGUGGGGAGCAAACAGGAUUAGAUACCCUGGUAGUCCACACCGUAAACGAUGAAUGCCAGUCGUCGGGUAGCAUGCUAUUCGGUGACACACCUAACGGAUUAAGCAUUCCGCCUGGGGAGUACGGUCGCAAGAUUAAAACUCAAAGGAAUUGACGGGG